GGGGAUUUAGCUCAGUGGUAAAGCGCUUGCCUAGCAAGCACAAGACCCUGGGUUCAGUCCCCAGCUCCG
rnacentral:tRNA from 1 species